rnacentral:misc_RNA from 1 species
AAAUAUUACUUAAAUAAAAACUAUAAAAGGAAAAUAUUAACAACUGACUGCUGGAAAUAUAUUUUUUCUUUGACAAAAAAAAUAUUAAAUAAAAAUUUUCCCAAUAAAUGUAAAUAGAACCCAAUUUGUCUUUAAUAGUUAGGAUAGGAGAUAAGGAAGUUGUGAAUUUGCAAUUAAGGUUCCUAACGAAAGGAGAAAAGGUUCAGUAGAUUGAGCUGUUUAGCUUUUCAAAAUCAUAUUAAAGAUAGAAAAUAGAAGAAAACAAAACAAAAUAAGCAAAAAGGACGAUGGAGAUGGGUUGGAAUGCCCAACUUUAUUGGGAUCCACCGCAUUAUGGUUCCUUUUUUUUUAUAUAUUUUGAAAAAAAAAA